GAUGAACGCUGGCGGCGUGCCUAAUACAUGCAAGUAGAACGCUGAAGGAGGAGCUUGCUCUUCUGGAUGAGUUGCGAACGGGUGAGUAACGCGUAGGUAACCUGCCUGGUAGCGGGGGAUAACUAUUGGAAACGAUAGCUAAUACCGCAUGACAACAGUUAUUGCAUGAUAACUGUUAAAAAGGGGCAACUGCUCCACUACCAGAUGGACCUGCGUUGUAUUAGCUAGUUGGUGAGGUAACGGCUCACCAAGGCGACGAUACAUAGCCGACCUGAGAGGGUGAUCGGCCACACUGGGACUGAGACACGGCCCAGACUCCUACGGGAGGCAGCAGUAGGGAAUCUUCGGCAAUGGACGGAAGUCUGACCGAGCAACGCCGCGUGAGUGAAGAAGGUUUUCGGAUCGUAAAGCUCUGUUGUAAGAGAAGAACGAGUGUGAGAGUGGAAAGUUCACACUGUGACGGUAUCUUACCAGAAAGGGACGGCUAACUACGUG
rnacentral:rRNA from 1 species